GACAUCCUUUGGAUAUCUCUUCUAUAGACCGAAGGACAAUGUUGUCUUCGUUGCGAGGAGAGGAGUUUUCCGAGAGCGAGAACUCAUAAGCCAAGGAGACAGUGGGAGGCAAAUCGAGCUUGAAGAGAUUCAAGAGUCGAUAGAUGAAGGAACCUCUACCGCUGGCACUCAACCCGAGGAGGAAACUCCGGUUGAACCGAUUGACGAAUCCUUACCUCUUAGACGUUCCGAUAGAGUUAGAGUUCAACCCCAGUUUUAUGGUUUUCAUAUUACUACCGAAGGGGACACGUAUAUUAGUGAUGGUACACUAAUAAAUCUUGAUGAACCUAAUAGCUAUAAGGAAGCCAUGGCAGGCCCGGAGUCUGCAAAAUGGAAAGAGGCAAUGGAUAGCGAGAUCCAAUCCAUGUAUGAUAACCAAGUUUGGAAUUUGGUUGAUUAUGUGCCCGGACGUAAGACCGUUGGGUGCAAAUGGAUCUUCAAGAAGAAGACCGACGUGGAUGGAAACGUACACACAUAUAAAGCGCGAUUGGUUGCGAAGGGCUUUACUCAAACUCCCGGAGUUGACUAUGAUGAGACCUUCUCACCAGUUGCGAAGAUUAAAUCUAUUAGAGUGAUGCUAGCAAUUGCCGCAUUUCAUGAUUAUGAGAUUUGGCAAAUGGAUGUCAAGACCGCUUUCCUUAACGGAAAGUUGGCUGAGGAUGUUUACAUGGCUCAGCCAGAGGGGUUUGUGGAUCCGAAGCAUCCGAAUAGAGUGUGUAAGCUUGAGAAGUCCAUUUAUGGACUUAAGCAAGCGUCUCGCAGAUGGAAUCUUUGCUUCGAUGAGAAAGUCAAAGAGUUUGGAUUUGUACGAAGCGAAGACGAAUCUUGUGUAUAUGUCAAAGCCAGUGGGAGUAUAGUAAGCUUCCUCGUUCUAUAUGUCGAUGACAUAUUACUCAUAGGAAACGACAUCCCGACUCUGCAGGAGGUAAAGUCCUGGCUCGGGAAGUGUUUCGCUAUGAAGGACCUCGGAGAGGCUUCUUACAUUUUGGGAAUAAGGAUAGUAAGAGAAAGAAGUAAGAGACUAAUUGGACUUAGUCAGAAUACUUACUUAGAGAAGGUACUAAAACGUUUUAGUAUGGAAAACUCAAAGAAGGGAGAACUACCGAUACAAAGUAAUGCCAAAUUGAGUAAGACUCAAAGUCCGAGUACCGAAGCUGAGAUAGCAGAAAUGAGCCGAGUACCAUACGCUUCCGCAGUUGGCUCAAUCAUGUACGCUAUGACUUGUACUCGCCCUGAUGUAGCCUUCGCUUUGAGCAUGGUUAGCAGAUAUCAAGGGAAUCCUGGCAAAGCACAUUGGAUUGCGGUGAAGAAUAUCCUUAAGUACCUUCGGAGGACGAAGGAAUGGUUCUUAGUCCUCGGAGGGAGUGAUGACUUGAAGGUGCGAGGGUAUAGUGACGCCAGUUUUCAGACCGACAGGGACAACUACCGUUCGCAGUCGGGCUGGGUCUUUACCCUAAAUGGAGGAGCAGUGACAUGGAAGAGUUCCAAGCAGGAAACCGUAGCUGAUUCAACGUGCGAAUCAGAGUACAUUGCAGCGAGCGAAGCGUCGAAGGAGGCAAUAUGGCUAAAGAACUUCAUCGGUGAUCUUGGAGUCGUACCUGCCAUAAAGGAGCCAAUGGAGAUUUUCUGUGAUAACGAAGGUGCGGUUGCCUUAACCAAGGAACCGAGGGAUCAUGGUAGAUCAAGACAUAUCGACAGAAAGUAUCACUUCAUUAGACAUCGUGUAGAAGAAGGACAACUCGUAGUGAAGAGGAUAUCAUCAGAAGAUAACCCAGCAGAUCCGCUUACGAAGGGACUGAGUAGGGUUAAGCACUUGCAGCAUGCUAGGAGUAUUGGGCUGAAGGAUGAUAUUAGCAUAGAUUAGAUAGUAUUAGAAACGUGUAAUAGAUAAAUGUAAUUGACAUUUGAUGAUUAAAUAAAGGAGUUUUAUUUAUGAGUAAUGUUACUAUCUUAUGUUAAUUGUUUAGCUAUUGUUUCACUUUGCAUGUUUUGACUUCCAGAAUAAUUGAGGUUAUUAGGAAUAAUCGAAUUAUUCAAAUGGUCCACAAUCGUUCAUAUGUUGGAAGUAGAUAUGAAAGAAGAUUGUCAUGAAUUGGUGUGUAGAAUGUCUAAAUGGUGUUAGACAUAGCAAAGGAUUGCUGCAACGUUCAUGAGUGCUUAUGAACUAGUUUUGAGCAUUGGAAUAAACCCGCGCUUGCUGGAAUCACCUUAUGGAAUACGAUAUAAAAGGUGAUCGCAAGACGAUAAUAUCAUAUAGUCUUAAAACCUAGAUAUAUGGUUUAUUAUUUGUUAAUUGAUUGUACAUUGAUAAUACGAAAACGCAUCAGUAACUUGGUGUUAUAAAACGUAUUGUUGUGUAUAGUUGGUUAAUGAAUAAGUAAAUGCAUAUAAGUCGAAGUUUAUCUGUAACUUUUAUCUAAGAAGGUAAAAGCGAUAUCUCGGCCGCUCGAUGAUUUGAUUUGACUUAUGUGCCGGGCCCGGUCAGAACUGAAUUGAUGUGUUCGAUUAAGUUCUAUGUCAAAUAAAUCAGAGAUCGAGAAACCUAAAUGCUUGACUAACCAUUCCAUAGGAUUGUCAGCAUGAUAUCUAACAGAGGACUGUACGUUCCCUUAUCUAAAGGACAAGAUUGAUUAGAUCAGAGUUGACAGCGUCUUUGAGAGCUACGAUUGCAAACCGAAUUGUACUUGUAUAGUUACUAGACUUAUCCAAGUGGGAGACUGUUGGAAUAGUGUCUAAGGCUGUAACUAUAUCCGGUUGUGCAUGGUCCUUUUGGGUUGCCUUCACCAUAGCAACUUGAUAGGAUGAUUUAUUAAGAGAGAAUAAAUAUUAUUAAUAUAUUAUGGGAAUAAUAUAAUGAAUAAUAUAUUUGUUAUUUGAUUAAUAUAAGUCAUAGAAUUAAUUAGAAUUAAUUUGGUGACUUAAAGAGAUUAAUUAAAUAAAGGGGUAUAAACUGUCAAUUGUUUGAUAGUUAAGCUUUAAACUGUAAAUCCAUUUGGAUAUACUAUGGACGAAUUCUAAGAGGAUUAGGAUAGCUAAAAUCGUCCAUCAGAGUUAUCUAGGAAUGGAUUUGGAUAGCCUUAAGAGAAGAUUAUCUGAUAGGGACUUAUCUGUAAUCAUUAAGGAAUCUACAAGUAUAAAUAGACCCCAUGGGAUAGGGAAUUCGAUACUUCUGAAAAAGCAAGAGAACUCUGGUCGAAUUCCUCCCCUCUCCUCUCUCCCAAAUCAUCCUCCUUGCUUUGGUGUUUGUAAGCCAUUAGAGGAGUGACAUUUGUGACUCUAGAAGCUCCAAGACCUCAAGAUCAACAAGGAACUCAAAGGUAUGAUUCUAGAUCUGUUUCAAUGUUCUUAUUUAACCUAAUUAGUAAUUAGAAGUCUUGGAUUCAAAGCAUGUUUAUUAGAAAGCCUAGAUCCAAGCAUUAGGGUUUUGCAUGCGCACAUAGGAAAGUUCUUAUGGCUAAAACCCAUCAAAAUUGGCACUUCAUCUCAAGUAGAGAACCCCUGGCCGAAUUGCCUCCCCUCUCCUAUCUCCCAAAUCAUCCUCCUUGCUAUUUGGUGUUUGUAAGCCAUUAGAGGAGUGACAAUUGUGACUCUAGAGCUCCAAGACAACAAGAUCAAACAAGAGAUUCAAAGGUAUGAUUCUAGAUCUGAUUUAGUAUUGUUCUUAUACCUAAUUAGUCAUUAGAAGUCUUGGAUUCAAAGCAUGUUUAAUUAGAAAGCCUAGAUCCAAGCAUUAGGGUUUUGCAUGCGCACAUAGGAAAGUUCUUAUGGCUAAAACCCAUCAGUGGUAUCAGAGACUAGAUUGGUUUCUAUUGAAUUGAUGCAUUGGUUGCUUGUUUGAUGCCUUUAAAAUUCCAAUUUUGUGUUUCUGUCUGAUGGACUCGGUGAGUCCCAUAGUGGACUCGGCGAGUCCAUUGGGGUACUCGGCGAGUCCAAGCGUCAGAAAGAGCUAAUUUCGGGAUUUCUUGUUGUUUAUCUUUGAUAUACUUCCCUUAAUCAUAGUAGAUCAAUAUAAAUCCGAUUUUAUGAUAUAUAUGAGUAUAUUCUUUAUCUAAUUGAAGAUAUUUAUCAAUUAAUAAAAUAUUUUUUUCCUUAUCUUUGAGAUACUUGCUUUAAAUUGUCGCUUGUUUGUUUGAAACUUAACUGCAAAAUUCGAUUUUUGUGUUUCUGAGUCAUGGACUCGGCGAGUUGGCCUGACUCGGCGAGUCCCUUGGUGCACUCGGCGAGUCCAAGCGUCAGGAAUGGCCAGAUUCGGGAUUUCUUCAUGAUUAUCUUAUGGAAACUUACCUUAAUCAUAUUAGAUCAACCCUAAUCCGAUUUUUUGAUAUAUAUGACUAUAAUCUUGAUCUAAUUAAAGAUAUUUAUCAACUAAUAAAAUAUUUAAUUUCCUUAUAUGAUAAUUAAUUAAUUAUUUUGAUUAAUUUGGUAAUUAUCUUGCAAGAAAUCUUGAAUAAAUCAAAUAUAGAUAAUUAGGAAAUUAAUUGUUAAUUAAAAUUAUUUGUUAUUUGAUCCUCCAUGUUUUAAAUGGUUAAAACUUGUCCUCAUGUUUUGAAAUUUAUAUUUUGUGAUGAAAAGUUUUAAUUUAGACAAUUUAAAUUUCAAACCCUAGAUUUUUAAAAGGUUUCAAAUACAACCCUAUACUAAUAUUAUAUUUCAAGAAUAAUAUAUAUAUGUAUAACUAAAAUGCUUUUCUUACCGUUAGUAGGCCUCAUUCACGAAGUCGAUCUAUAAGGCGGGUAUAAGGUUGCAGCCUACAAAAUGGGGCUUAAUGGGUGUACACUCACACCCAACGCUUGCUUGAUCGGUGGAGGGUCAUUAGCCGAACGGGUAGGAUAGGGCAACCUCAUCCUCUCAUUAAAAGUAUAAUAAGUAAUACAAAGUAACUACACAUUUUUAUAAUAAAUUCCCAAUCUUAGUUACUUUACGAAAGUGAAUUAAUGCAAUCGCAUGAAAUUACACUUUGCACCCUUGCUAAGAAGUUAGUGGAGCGUGUGUGGUUUACCGGCACACUAAUUGGUUCUAAGCAAAGGUGGCAAAGGGUGAUUCAUUGUUUAUCAUAGUUCGAUGGAGCGUGUGUGGUUUACCGGCACAUCGAAUAGGUGAUCGUUACAAUGAAGGCACCAUGUGAAUUUGCAUGGUAAUUCACACCCGCUUUGUGAUCCUCGGUAUCCCAGUCACAAACAAGAGGGGCAUAUCGAGAUUUAAACAUGCCAUUGAAUAGUUUCAAUGAAUCUCAUCCGAACCUAGGAAUUCUCAAUACAUUUAGGACUUAUAGUUUGGUUUUUAUGGUGGAGAAUUAGUGAAUCGUCAUUCACUUACCUUCAAUUUAUUUGCAUGUUAGAUUACGGCAUCCCUUUUCUAAUAUGUAAAUAUUGUUGUUGGAUCCUAGCCCUAAUUUUUCUUAUUGGGUGAUAAUUAGGGAUUCAUAUUCUAAUCUAUCUUUGUCCUUUCUAUUUGUAGAUGUCGAACGCAAACAACGUUGCUGCUAGUUCUUUCACAUUGAUGAGCCUUUGCCAAAAGGUCACUUUCGAUGGAACGAACUUUAGUGAAUGGAUAAGAUACAUUCGCACCAUUGCUCGCUAUGAGGAUAAGGAGUAUGUCCUCGACGAGCAGCUCGAGAAAAUCAACUCUGAAAUCGCUACUCCGGGUGAAACGACCGCUUUUGAAAGUCAUGAGCACGAUGCAACGAAGGUACAUUGCAUCAUGAUAGCCACCAUGAACUCCGAAUUCCAAAAGUCCUAUGAGGACAUGUACCCGUACGAGAUGCAUCAAGACUUAUUGGAGAGAUACCACCAAAACGCGAGACAAGAGCGUUAUGAGAUUUUCACUAACAUGAUUUCCNNNNNNNNNNCUUUAGGAAAAGUGAAUCGAUGCAAUCCCAUGAAAUUACACUUGGCCCCCUUCGCAAGUUAAAUGUUGACUUUGGGGAAGACUUGGCGAUCGACAUAGUGCUUCACUCUAUGCCUCCGAUGUACAAUCAAUUUCGGUUGACCUACCACAUGAACAAAGAGGAGGUCACCCUAAGCAAACUCCAAGGUCUUUUGAGGCUCGCUGAGAGCAACUUCAAAGACAAGUCUGUUGCACCAACUCCCAAUCCACCCGUUGCUCCUGUCUUGGUUAUUGGUCAACGACAGGGAAAGAAGAGGAAGGCUUCUUCUAAGAACUAUCGCAAGGUUAAAGCCCAAGAUGGUGCCUCUUCUAGUGGGACCAAAGUUGAUCCCGCUAAGCCCUGCCCUAACCCUAAGGAGGCAGAGUGCCACCACUGCCACAAGAUAGGACAUUGGAAGAGAAGCUGCCCAGAGUACCUGCAAGCCAUCAAGGAAGGAAAGAUCAAGCCGUCUUUCGCAGGUAUAUACACAAUUAAAUCUAACGAUUCUAAUCAUGCUAUUUCUUGGGUUCUUGAUACCGGUUGUGGUUACCACAUUUGUUCUAAUGUGCAGGGACUAAGAAGAAGUAGGGAUGUGGAGCAAGGAAGAAUCAAUCUAAUCAUGGGGAACAGAAGAUCGUCGCCUGUGACCAAGAUUGGAGUGUAUUCUUUAGUGCUUAGGAAUAAUUUAUGUUUAGAUUUGAACAAUUGUUGCUAUUCGCCAGAAAUGGCUAGAAACAUCAUUUCAUUUCAUGGUUUAUAUAGACAAGGUUUUAGAUUUUCUUUUAAUAAUGAGAAUGGUUCUAUUUUGGCUUAUCUAAAUGGUGUCUUUUACUUUGAAGCUAUACCAUGUAAUGGAAUUUAUGAAACCGUUAUGAUUGUUGAUAACUUAGGAAAUGAUGUUUUGAAUAUAGAUUCUUCCACUAGUAUGGAUAAAGCAUCCUUGUGGCAUUGUCGUCUUGGACAUGUCAACAAGAAACGCAUAGCCCAACUCCAAAAGGAUGGAGUGUUGGAGUCAUUCGACCUUAGGGAAGAUGACACAUGCGAGUCUUGUUUACUUGGAAAGAUGACUAAGUCACCCUUCACGAGUACAUGUGAAAGGGGUGAGGGUCUAUUGGACCUAAUACAUACCGAUGUAUGUGGACCGUUUAGAUCAACCACGAAGGAUGGGAACCGCUUCUAUGUGACUUUUACCGAUGACUAUAGUAGAUAUGGGUAUAUCUACUUAAUCAAGCAAAAGUCAGACACCUUUGAAAAGUUCAAAGAGUUCAAGAAUGAAGUGGAGAAUCAAUUGGGCAGGAAAAUCAAGAUGCUUCGAUCCGAUCGAGGAGGAGAGUACCUAAGUCUUGAAUUCCACGAUUAUCUCAAGGAGUGUGGAAUAGUUUCACAAUUGACGCCUCCUAGGACACCGCAGUUGAAUGGUGUGGCAGAAAGGCGUAAUCGAACCUUAUUGGAUAUGGUUCGCUCUAUGAUGAGUCGUGCUUCACUACCUAUCUCUUUUUGGGGGUAUGCCUUAGAGACUGCCGCCCAUAUCCUUAACCGAGUCCCUACUAAGAAGGUUGCCAAAACACCUCACGAGAUGUGGACAGGGAAAGCUCCCUCGUUGGCACAUAUCAAGGUUUGGGGUUGCGAGGCUUUCGUAAGACGAGAUACUCACGACAAGCUUGAACCUCGAAGUGAGCGAUGUAUUUUCAUCGGCUACCCGCAGACAUCCUUUGGAUAUCUCUUCUAUAGACCGAAGGACAAUGUUGUCUUCGUUGCGAGGAGAGGAGUUUUCCGAGAGCGAGAACUCAUAAGCCAAGGAGACAGUGGGAGGCAAAUCGAACUUGAAGAGAUUCAAGAGUCGAUAGAUGAAGGAACCUCUACCGCUGGCACUCAACCCGAGGAGGAAACUCCGGUUGAACCGAUUGACGAAUCCUUACCUCUUAGACGUUCCGAUAGAGUUAGAGUUCAACCCCAGUUUUAUGGUUUUCAUAUUACUACCGAAGGGGACACGUAUAUUAGUGAUGGUACACUAAUAAACCUUGAUGAACCUAAUAGCUAUAAGGAAGCCAUGGCAGGCCCGGAGUCUGUGAAAUGGAAAGAGGCAAUGGAUAGCGAGAUCCAAUCCAUGUAUGAUAACCAAGUUUGGAAUUUGGUUGAUAAUGUGCCCGGACGUAAGACCGUUGGGUGCAAAUGGAUCUUCAAGAAGAAGACCGACGUGGAUGGAAACGUACACACAUAUAAAGCGCGAUUGGUUGCGAAGGGCUUUACUCAAACUCCCAGAGUUGACUAUGAUGAGACCUUCUCACCAGUUGCGAAGAUAAAAUCUAUUAGAGUGAUGCUAGCUAUUGCCGCAUUUCAUGAUUAUGAGAUAUGGCAAAUGGAUGUCAAGACCGCUUUCCUUAAUGGGAAGUUGGCUAAGGAUGUUUACAUGGCUCAGCCAGAGGGGUUUGUGGAUUCGAAGCAUCCGAAUAGAGUGUGUAAACUUAAGAAGUCCAUUUAUGGACUUAAGCAAGAAUCUCGCAUAUGGAAUCUUUGCUUCGAUAAGAAAGUCAAAGAGUUUGGGUUUGUACGAAGCGAAGAUGAGUCGUGUGUAUAUGUCAAAGCCAGUGGGAGUAUAGUAAGCUUUCUCGUUCUAUAUGUCGAUGACAUAUUACUCAUAGGAAACGAAAUCCCGACUCUGCAGGAGGUUAAGUCCUAGCUCGGGAAGUGCUUCGCUAUGAAGGACCUCGGAGAGGCUUCCUAUAUUUUAGGAAUAAG
rnacentral:lncRNA from 1 species